CCCCAGGGUGACCCCUGCCUCCCCAGGGCCCCUCCCCCAGAUCAGGGUCCCCUGCCCCCAGCUCUGCCCUCACCUCCGCUCAGCUCAGCAGCCCCCAGCAGACUGGGGCUGUGUUUUAGCUCGGAACUCGCCCCUCUCCGAGGAAGCAACUAAGCUGCUCACCAGAGCAAGAAGCGGCCAUCCAUAUCCACCAUUGCCACGUCCACCAUUGCCAUGUCCACCAUUGCCACGUCCACCAUUGCCCAGCCGUAUCCUGUCCUACUGCUCCUGGCUUCUCCCAGGCCCUCGAGGGGGUUUGCACACUCGUGCCAGGUGAACUGCCCGACGGUGGCCCCCGGCAGGAGAACCUUCCCGGCUGAGCACAGCCCAACUGCGGAAUGGUGAGCAAUUGUGAGAAUCUAACAAGGUUGGCAUCUUUAUUACGUAGAGAUAGACAACUGUUCCAUCCACUGUUAUGGUUUGAGUAAUAGUUUGGGUGUCCCCUAAAAGGCCCGUGUACUGGGGGCUUGACCCCUGAAGCCUUAUGCUAAUGGUUCAUGGAUUAAGCGUGGAGACUGAAUCUAAUUAUAGUGUCUAGGAGCUGGGCCCAGUGGGAGGCCUUGAGUCACUGGGGUGUGCCCUUGGAAGCUGGUUCUGCAGAGAGGCGUGGCUAGGAAUGCUGACAUCACCCGGUGUGCUCUCUGCUUCCCAGCUCACUCCCCCUUGCGUUCUGUGCCUUCAUCACAUGCCAGACUCAUGGGAUCUUCUGAUCGCAGACUGUGAACCUCCAAAACCGUGAGUCAGAAUGAACCGCCUUCCCUCCUCAGAAGCUCCUCUGGGGCGGGUGAAGGUCUGACGGCUUCCCCACCAGCCCCGUCCUCCACGGCUGUGGGCUGCCCUGGAGCAUUAACUCCCAGGGACUUCUGGCCGGUCCCGCACUUAGACGUGCGUGUCCCGAGAAAGGCUUCCUUCUGAGACCUGUCCCGUUGGAGGGUGGGGACUGUGCAGAGGAGCUGCAGGCGACUCCCU
rnacentral:lncRNA from 1 species